CCCAAGUAAUUUGACUUUUCUCUUUAAUCCUGUCAAAAUACAUAUACAUGCAUUUUGGCCUUACCACUGAAAUUUCCUGUAGUUUCUGAGGGCCAUCUUCCAGUGGAGCUUUAACUUCAUGCCUAUUGGAUUAGCAUCUUGUUAUAUUAUACUUUAUUUUUUGUAAUUUUCAAGGUUUCACAUAAUACCUUGUAUAUGGAGGUUAUAUCCCUGUGAUGCACUGUUUCCUCCAUGUGUUCCAUUUUAUUUCAACACAGGUAACACCACUUGAAUAUUUCAGACCAGAGACAAUGAAGAGAGGGUGUUGGAAGAAGAGAUUAACCUAGUUAAGGUGGACCUAAAGGAAACUGAAGGAAACAAUAAUGAUGAGCUGCAAAAGGUUUAUUUGAGAAGAUAUCUCAGAUCGAAAGCUUCUUUCAAAUUUCACCUCAUUGGGAUGAGAAGAUCUGGUUUGGACAAAGGCCUUAUUCUUGAGCUGGUAGCGUUACUGCACCACGGCUAACUAAUUGAGCAGAGGGAUCUCAUACCACAGAGUUGGCGGAAAGGCCAUGUUCCCUGACAACGUAGAGCACUAUCCAAAACCAAUGGAGCAAAGAUGGGGAUUCGAGGGGAGCAAAGAUAGAGGCUCUUUUGGUGUCAAUAGUUCAGACAGGACGACAACAGGACAGAGAUGAUGAAACCCUGAUUUACGGAUCUUCUUUUGAUAAUUAAUCUCAGUUAUCAAAUAAUUGGACAAAUAAGCUGUUAAUUCUGGCUGCUUGAGUCCCAUUUUGUUUGCCUUGGAAGAGUGGAGAGGAUCAUAGACAGACAAGUGUCGAAGCUGUAUUUAUUACCACCUCUAAGGUGGUGCCUCUUUCUUUUCUUCUUUCUCUUCUCUUUCUCUAUUACCCACUGUUCCAUGUCAAAACAUUUGUUACUAACCUUUGAUACACUAAAUAUUCUUCAUGCAUAA